CGGACUCAUAUUGAAACCUAGUGAUUUAUGAGUUAGUGGCGGACGGGUGAGUAACGCGUGGAAAACCUGCCGUAUACCGGGGGAUAACACUUAGAAAUAGGUGCUAAUACCGCAUAAGCGCACAGCUUCGCAUGAAGCAGUGUGAAAAACUCCGGUGGUAUAUGAUGGUUCCGCGUCUGAUUAGCUAGUUGGCGGGGUAACGGCCCACCAAGGCAGCGAUCAGUAGCCGGCCUGAGAGGGUGAACGGCCACAUUGGGACUGAGACACGGCCCAAACUCCUACGGGAGGCAGCAGUGGGGAAUAUUGCACAAUGGGGGAAACCCUGAUGCAGCGACGCCGCGUGAGUGAAGAAGUAUUUCGGUACGUAAAGCUCUAUCAGCAGGGAAGAAAAUGACGGUACCUGACUAAGAAGCCCCGGCUAACUACGUGCCAGCAGCCGCGGUAAUACGUAGGGGGCAAGCGUUAUCCGGAUUUACUGGGUGUAAAGGGAGCGCAGACGGCAGCGCAAGUCUGGAGUGAAAUGCCGGGGCCCAACCCCGGAACUGCUUUGGAAACUGUGCAGCUUGAGUGCGGGAGAGGUAAGUGGAAUUCCUAGUGUAGCGGUGAAAUGCGUAGAUAUUAGGAGGAACACCAGUGGCGAAGGCGGCUUACUGGACCGUAACUGACGUUGAGGCUCGAAAGCGUGNGGAGCAAACAGGAUUAGAUACCCUGGUANUCCACGCCGUAAACGAUGAUUACUAGGUGUCGGGGGACCAAGGUCCUCCGGUGCCGGCGCAAACGCAUUA
rnacentral:rRNA from 1 species